CGUAGCGCAUCGAAAAUACGUCAUCUCUUAGGGACUGCAGGCCUGUUGCUUUUCCCGAGACUGAAAAGACCCAAGACUCCUGAUUUGGCUAGACUGGACAGUGAACGUGAGAGAUCGCCUGUUUCCUUCUAUCCAGGACUAGGAUUCCAAGUGCACGCCUUUCUUAUUAUGUGGGUUUUAGGGAUCUUGCUUGGGUCCUCAGGCACCUUAGGAAGUGAGUUGUUUCCCUCUAGCAUGAAAUGAUAAUCGAUAAUAAUUAUAAAACUGCACAACCGGAUACACAAACCUUGGAUCUGGAAUCCUGAAAUGGGAAAGAGUUUCAGCUACCUCCUGAUGCGGCUCAGUUUAUCGUUGCUCUGCUCGUCCACAGCAAGACACUCUCUUUAUAUGGGAGUUCCAUCCUGAGUCUCUGAUUUCCCCAGGGAGUGAAGUAUAACCAACUGAAUAUCAUUCCCACUUCAUCAUAAAGACAAGCCCUUCAGAUAAGAUGAAACUCACUGAAGUCUUCCACAACACCCUGAACAGUAGAAGAGCUCCUAAGAAAAUAAUUAAACCCUGCACAUUGAGCUGUAUCAGACAAGACUUACAAUGACUGAGAUGCUAAACAACAUAACAGAUUACAUGGAAUUCCUACUCAUGGGAUACCCAGAUGGGCAAGUGCUACAGACCCUGUGUACCACACUUUUCUUCUUGACUUACCUUAGGAGCACUAGUGGGAAACUUCCUCAUUAUUGCCCUCAUCACUGUAGAACAGCAUCUCCAAACCCCUAUGCAUUUCUUUCUGAAGAAUUUGCCCCUGAUUGAUAUGUUAUAUUUCUGUCACGGUUCCCAAACCCAUCACGAACUCUGUGAUGAACACACAUUCUAUCUCCUUCCUGGGAUGUGUUUUACAGGUUUUCUUUGUUAUAUUUUUGGCAGGGACAGAGUUUGCCUUGCUUUUGGUGAUGUCCUAUGACCGCUAUGCUGCCAUUUGCUUCCCUCUACACUAUUAGGCCAUCAUGAAUAGAGGUGCCUGUGUUGAGAUGGUGGUGGCAGCAUGGCUCAGUGGGUGUAUCUAUGGGUCCCUCCAUGCCACAGUAACAAUCGCUGUCUAGUUCUGUGGUCCAAAUGUAGUGCAUCAAUUCUUCUGUGAUAUCACUUCUCAGAUUUGCUUGUUUUAGAGACCAAAUUCUAGGAUUUGUGUUUAUCAUUACUAGUAGUUGUUUUGCUUUCAUAUGUUUUACAUUGAUGGUUAUUUCCUAUGUUCAUAUUUUCACUAUUAUCCUAAGAAUUCCUUCUAUACAAGGGAGAUUUAAAAUUUUCUCCACGUGCAUACCCCAUCUUACUGUUGUGACCUUAUUUCUGUCUUCUGGAUUUGUUGCAUAUUUAGGCUCAACAGUAAAAAUCUCCAAUCUCUGUGUGGCUUGGGUAUCAAAGUGAUUGUAGCCUCGUAGAAAGAGUUUGGCAAUAUCCCAUCUGCUUCUAUUGUGCAAAACAGUUUGAGGAGUACUGGA